UCUUCCUCUUUCAUCUUUUUUUCUCAUUUUGUGUCAUUUCUAUCUUCUCUAUUUUUUUUUUAUCUUAUCUUUUCAUUUGUCUUCAUUCAUUUCUCCUUCGUUUUAUCUCCCUUUUCUUUCUUUUAUUUUCUUCUUCUUAUUUCCUGUAACUUGAUUCAUUCUUCCUCCUUUCACUUAUUUCCUCUCUUUCUCUCAUUCCUUUUAAUUCCCUUCUUUAUUCUCUGCUUCGUAAUUUUGUCUUCUAUCUCAUAUUUACAAUCUUUAUUCUUUUUAUUUUUGUCUUCCCUUAAAUUUCUUCUUCUUCACUUCCCAUCUAGUUAAUUUUUGUCCUCUUUUCCUUCCUUUUAUCAACUGUACUUCUUAUCUUCUCUGCUUCAUAGAUCAUAUACGGCUUAACUUUUACUUGUUUUUGUUUUCUUUUAUUCUUUUCCCUCGUAUUCUUCUUCACUUCAAAAUUAUCUUCCAUUAUCUUCCGUUCCGUUCUUAUAUUCUUCUACACUUCAAAAUUAUCUUCCAUUAUCUUCCGUUCCAUUCUCAUAUUCUUCUUCACUUCAAAAUUAUCUUCCAUUAUCUUCCGUUCCGUUCUUAUAUUCUUCUUCACUUCAAAAUUAUCUUCCAUUAUCUUCCGUUCCGUUCUUAUAUUCUUCUACACUUCAAAAUUAUCUUCCAUUAUCUUCCGUUCCAUUCUCAUAUUCUUCUUCACUUCAAAAUUAUCUUCCAUUAUCUUCCGUUCCGUUCUUAUAUUCUUCUUCACUUCAAAAUUAUCUUCCAUUAUCCUCCGUUCCAUUCUUCCAUCCCUUUCACCGUCUGUGUUUCCUGCUUCACAACUCUUACGGCUUAAUUCCUACCUGUUUCUAUUUCCAUCUUUCAUUCUUGCGUUUCUUCACUUAAUAUCUCUUAUCAGCUUAACUCUUACAUAUAUUUCUUUUUCCUCUCAUUCUUUCACUUCUUCUAAACUACAUCUCUCUAAUACAGCUUGAAUCUUACAUAUCUUUAUUCAAAUCUUUCACUCUUUCAUCUCUCUACUAUCAAUCUCUUACAACUCAAUUCUUACAUUCUUCUAUUCUUCUCUCAUUCUUUCACUUCUCCUAAGCUACAUCUCUCUAAUACAGCUUGAAUCUUACAUAUCUCUAUUCCUAUCUUUCACUCUUUCAUCUCUCUACAACCAAUCUCUUACAACUCAAUUCUUACAUUCUUCUAUUCUUCUCUCAUUCUUUCACUUCUUCUAAACUACAUCUCUCUAAUACAGCUUGAAUCUUACAUAUCUCUAUUCCUAUCUUUCACUCUUUCAUCUCUCCACUAUCAAUCUCUUACAACUCAAUUCUUACAUUUAUCCUUCUCUCAUACACUUUAAUCAACUCCUUCAUCUCCCUUCAUCAUCAACUUCUUCAUCCUCUCGGCUUAACGUUUACGCCUCGCUACGUACACACACAAGGUUCUCCCCCCUACGCCUUACACUUAGGUAUGUAAUAGGUAGCGUUAAUCCAACUUGAAAGCAUUGCGUCGGAUAGGAAGCUCGGAAAUAACACUACGAUAGCUUGGCGGAGGAGCAGGUCUGGCGUUUAUAAAAAUUUGGCAAACACACAUGAUAGUAGAAGCAAUAGUAGUAGUAGUAGUAGUAGUAGUAGUAGUAGUAGUAGUAGUAUGGGAACUCUUUAGCUAAUACUACAUCCAGCUUGAAAAAAUAUAGGGAAUUGUAUCUCGUUCUCUCUCUCUCUCUCUCUCUCUCUCUCUCUCUCUCGGAUAAGAAAAUAAACACUCACUUUUUCUAGAGAGGAUUGAGGUGUGUGUGUGUGUGUGUGUGUGUGUGUGUGUGUGUGUGUGUGUGUGUGUGUGUAGGAUUCUCAACAGUAACCAGGAACAAUAACUAGGAUUCUUCACCUCCUACAUAUCCUACACUCCCUGCAGUAGGAUAUCUAGGAUCUAAGUAAGCCAUAGGGUACUGAGGAUUUAGAUGCAGCAAAAUUUCCCCCAAGAACUGAUAUCCUAUGCUUCUUAUAUGUCCUAAACUCCUUAUUUUAGGAUACAGAAAGGAUCUAAGGACAUAGGUGCUGUAAAUUCUCCAUGAACUGAUAUCCUACAUUCUCUCAUAGGAUGCACAAAGGAUCUAAAGGAUAUUGGGUGUUGGAAAGGAUCUAACUCCACAUAAUAGGAUCUAGAAAGGUGUUGCAAAGGUUCCAACUCCACAUAAUAGGAUCUGGAAAGGAUAUUGGGUGUUGCAAAGGUUCUAACUCCACAUAAAAGGAUCUGGAGAGGAUAUUGAGUGUUGCAAAGGUUCUAACUCCACAUAAAAGGAUUUGGAGAGGAUAUUGAGUGUUGCAAAGGUUCUAACUCCACAUAAAAGGAUCUGGAGAGGAUAUUGAGUGUUGCAAAGGUUCUAACUCCACAUAAAAGGAUUUGGAGAGGAUAUUGAGUGUUGCAAAGGUUCUAACUCCACAUAAAAGGAUCUAGAAAGGAUAUACAGUGUUGCAAAGGUUCUAACUCCACAUAAAAGGAUCUGGAGAGGAUAUUGAGUGUUGCAAAGGUUCUAACUCCACAUAAAAGGAUCUGGAGAGGAUAUUGAGUGUUGCAAAGGUUCUAACUCCACAUAAAAGGAUCUGGAGAGGAUAUUGAGUGUUGCAAAGGUUCUAACUCCACAUAAAAGGAUCUGGAGAGGAUAUUGAGAGUUGCAAAGGUUCUAACGCCACAUAAAAGGAUCUGGAGAGGAUAUUGAGUGUUGCAAAGGUUCUAACUCCACAUAAAAGGAUCUGGAGAGGAUAUUGAGUGUUGCAAAGGUUCUAACUCCACAUAAAAGGAUCUGGAGAGGAUAUUGAGUGUUUGGAAAGGUUCUAACUCCACAUAAAAGGAUCUGGAGAGGAUAUUGAGUGUUGCAAAGGUUCUAACUCCACAUAAAAGGAUCUGGAGAGGAUAUUGAGUGUUGCAAAGGUUCUAACUCCACAUAAAAGGAUCUGGAGAGGAUAUUGAGUGUUGCAAAGGUUCUAACUCCACAUAAAAGGAUCUGGAAAGGAUAUUGGGUGUUGCAAAGGUUCUAACUCCACAUAAAAGGAUUUGGAGAGGAUAUUGAGUGUCGCAAAGGUUCUAACUCCACAUAAAAGCACACCAACACUUGAAUCCUAAUGUGAGACUAAAGAAGGAGGUUUGAAUGCUCUUCGUCUUCAAGUAUAGGGGACAAGGGAAUCAAAUGCUCUUUUAAACUGAGAUGGUUAUACUCUUGUUGUCGUUUUGAUACAUUUCAUUUUGGACUUAAAUCUUAGACGUUACAAGUUCACAAAAAUAUACAUCUACGAAUUUUUAUGGAGGAGGAAGAAGAGGAGGAGGAAGGAAGGGAAAGGAAGGAGGAGGAGGAGGAAGGAAAAGGAAGGGAAAAGGAAGGGAAGGGAAGGGAAACAGAAGGAGGAGGAGGAAGGAUGAUGAAGGAAAAGGAAGGAAAAGGAAGGGAAGGAAAGGAAAGGAAGGGAAGGGAAGGAAAAGGAAGGAAGGAAGGAUGGAAGGGAAAGGAAGGAAAGGGAAGGGAAGGGAAGGAAAAGGAAGGAUAAUGAAGGAAAGGGAAGGGAAGGGAAGGAAAAGGAAGGAUAAUGAAGGAAAAGGAAGGGAAGGGAAGGAAAAGGAAGGGAAAGAAAGGAGGAGGUGGAGGAGAAGGAAGAGGAACAAUAAUGAAGGAAAAGGAAGGAAAAGGUGAAAGGAAGGGAAGGGAAGGAAAAGGAAGAGAAAGGAAGGAAAGGAAAGGGAAAAUGAAGGAAAAGGAAAGGAAAAGAAAGGAGGAAAACAGACCAAGCUAAAUUUAAUAACAAUGUGACACUAUCCAUUUUUUUUUUGGAAACAAUGAACUAAAACACACACACACACACACACACACACACACACACACACACACACACACACACACACACACACACACACACACACACACAAACUCACACAAUCAAAAAAUUCUAAUAACAUAACUUCCACAGGCAAAAAAAACAAAAAAGAAAAAAAACAUAAGUAUACCAGCAUCUUGUCUAGCAACAGAGUGAGUGAGUGAGUGAGUGGAUGGAAGCUGACAGUCUCCCGAAAUCAGGUCAGUUUAAAAUGGCGUAAAUAAUUAUGUUGGAUAAGCAAUUAAGGUGUUGUCAGGAGGAAGCAGAGGGUAGAUAAGCCUUCUCUCUUGAUUGAAUACAGCGGAAAGGGGGUUGACAGACUGGUAGAUAGGACAGGCAUGUGUGUGUUUGUGGGUAUGUGUGUGACAGCGUAAAUAUAGACCAAUCACUUAGGUGUUGUCAGUAGGAAGCGGAGAGUAGAUAAGCCUUCUCUCUUGAUUGAAUGCAGCGGAAAGGCGGUAGACAGACGAAGAAGAUAGUCAGAAUAGAUAGUUAGAAGAUAGACAGAAUAGCAUAGUGAUGUAAAGAAUUAAGUGUUUGAGGCUACAUGUGUGAUGGCGUAAAUUAUCAAGUCUGGUCGUUUACAUUUUAAUAAUCUAAUACCAUUCUUCCAUUAAUCAAACACAUCAGGAACAAGUCUAGAAUCAGGUAUAUAGACAGAUAGACAGGUGUGUGUGUGGGCGCAUAUGUAUCAGAGCAACAAUCGCAUACUCUUCCCUGUAAUCCGAGAGGGGAGGGACAAAGCUACAGGUGACAGAUGGGCAGGUGUGUGCAGGUGUGUGUGGGCGCAUAUGUAUCAGAGCAACAAUCGCAUACUCUUCCCUGUAAGUCGAGAGGGGAGGGACAAAGCUACAGGUGACAGAUGGGCAGGUGUGUGCAGGUGUGAGGGGGCACAUAUGUAUCAGAAAGACCUCAUAUCACAAAGCAGUGCAGUGUCAUCGUGCCUCUACCCAACAACCCUGAGAAGCAACUGUUUAGUGAAGUGGGCACAGAAAAUAGAACAUCUUUUAAUCUAUAGGCCUAUCAUUCAUUUCUCUUAUAGUAUAGAUGUCCGACACAGCCCUCGGUGACGCGUGCAAGGCUACGUGGCGGCUAAUGUGACGUCUAUAGUGCGCGGAAAAUAAUAAUGUUAAUAAGAAGAGUAAUGAUGGUAAUUUCCCUAGCGAUGAGCUGAUGCGGAGGUUAGGUGGAAUAAUGUGUGUGGAUGUAUAAGUGUGUGUGUGUGUGUGUGCGUGUGUGUGUGUUUGGCUUACGUAAGAGGGGUGUGUGUGUGUGUUUUUAUAUAUGUUUUCUUUUCUGUGUGUGUGUGUGUGUGUGUGUGUGUGUUUAAUUCAUCCAUGCAUUUUUUUUAUUUUUUAUUUCUUUUGCUCUCUUUCCCUCUCCCUCUCCCUCUCUCUCUCUCUCUCUCUCUCACACACACACACACAGUUUACAAGCAUGGUUUUAUAUACAAGUUACAAGUCUUAUCAGUCCACCUCCAAACAUGUUAUUUUCCAUUACUUACUUCUCUGCAUUUUCUCCUAACUCUCCUCUUCUGUCAUUAAUAUACAUCAAUCAUAACAUCAACCGUCUAUAGUUUCAUAUUGUCAAGUAACUCUUAUACCCUCUAAUUACUGUAUUCAAGCUUCCUCAAAUCACACUCCUGUUUAAUUGCCUCCCAGCUCUCUCUCACUCUCUGUCUCUCUGUUUAAUCGCCUCCCAG